rnacentral:rRNA from 1 species
UACAGAGGGUGCAAGCGUUAAUCGGAAUUACUGGGCGUAAAGCGUGCGUAGACGGUUGCGUAAGUCAGAUGUGAAAGCCCCGGGCUCAACCUGGGAAUUGCAUUUGAGACUGCGUAGCUAGGGUGCGGAAGAGGGAAGCGGAAUUUCCGGUGUAGCGGUGAAAUGCGUAGAUAUCGGAAGGAACACCAGUGGCGAAAGCGGCUUCCUGGUCCAGCACCGACGUGCAGGCACGAAAGCGUGGGGAGCAAACAGG